GCCCCAGUGGCGGAAAUUGGUAGACGCGGGCGUUUUACGAACGUCUGACCGGGCCUGGUCUUUGUGGGUUCGAGUCCCACCUGGGGCA
rnacentral:tRNA from 1 species